CAUAUUAUAUACCUAUAGAAAUGUGUAAGUAUAUUAAGUAGCUACAACUGAUAUAAUAUAUACCUAUAGAAAUGUGUAAGUAUAUUAAGUAGCCACAACUGAUAUAAUAUAUACCUAUAGAAAUGUGUAAGUAUAUUAAGUAGCUACAACUGAUAUAAUAAUGGUUUUUUUAAAUGAACUUACUAAAACUAUCCUAACAGAUAUAUAUAUAUACAUGUUGUAUUACUAACAAUAACAAGAUAUACCUCUACUACAAAUCAUUAUGAAAAUUCAAAUUCAGUGGUACAUGUAUCUGUUUUAAGACUUAUAUGGGUAGUUUAACAUGAAACAUUUAAAUACUUGACCAUUGAUAUAACAUGAAUAUAAAAAAAUCAAUUUACCAUUAUUACAUAACAAAGGACUACAGUUGGAUCUUAGCUUUAAAAUAAAACUACAUUGUUAUCAUGAUAAUAAAAUAUAGAAGUCAGAUAGAACUACUUUUUCUCUAAUUUUGACCUUUACAGUUAAAGUGACCUACUUCUCAUUAUGUAUCAUCUUCAGGUUAAAAAUGAUAUCAUUACUUAUACAUGUUAUAGUCAUGGAGGUAUGAUUUUAUUGGUCGGUGUUUAACGCCAUUUUCAGCACUAUUGACACUAGUACUUAUAGUCAUGGAGAUAUGGUUUGAUUGAUUGGUGUUAAAAACUACUUUCAGCACUAUUGAUGCUAGUACUUAUAGUCGUGGAGAUAUGAUUUGAUUGAUCGGUGUUUAACGCCACUUUCAGCACUAUUGAUACUAGUACUUAUAGUCAUGGAGAUAUGAUUUGAUUGAUUGGUGUUUAACGCCACUUUCAGCACUAUUGAUCCCAGUACUUAUAGUCAUGGAGAUAUGAUUUGAUUGAUCGGUGUUUAACGCCACUUUUAGCAAUAUUGAUCCCAGUACUUAGUCAUGGAGAUAUGAUAUGAUUAAUUGGUGUUUAACGACACUUUCAGCACUAUUGAUACUUGUACUUAUAGUCAUGAAUAUAUAAUUAGAUUGAUUGGUGUUUAACGCCACUUUCAGCACUAUUAAUCCCAGUACUUAUAGUCAUGGAGAUAUGAUUUGAUUGAUUGGUGUUUAACGCCACUUUCAGCACUAUUGAUACUAGUACUUUUAGUCAUGGAGAUAUGAUUUGAUUGAUU
rnacentral:lncRNA from 1 species